GUCCUCGAGCUCAUCUUCAGUCUCCACAGACUACAGAAGCACUUGAGGCAACAAGAACUUUGAGCUACUAGCUUGAAGAUGUCUUGCUGUGGUGGAAGCUGCUGCUGCGGUUCCUGCGGCUGCGGUAUGAUGUACCUUGGCUUCAAAGAGGAGAACACCAGCAACACCCCAGGAACCAUGGUCCUUGGUGUUUCAGCAGAGAAGGGCAGGGCUGGAGAAGUGCCAGAGAAGGCUACGGAGUCCGGCGAGGCCGGCCAUGGCUGCUGCUGCGGCUCCGGCUGCACGUGCAGCCCCUGCAGCUGCUGAAGAGGCCGGGGCCGGCAUGAGCACACACUUUCCUGAAUAUACAUGGUCUGCUACUAGUAAAUAAGAAGCCAUUGGUGCAAUGGCUCAAGAUCAUGUCAGACUUUGGGUGUAUUGCUUGUAUCCUGUUACUGUACUGCUGUGUCUUGUGAAACCAGAGGACUGGUCUUUGUGUUUCCUGGCCAGAAUCAUGCAGGCUACCAUGUGGCCUUGUGACUGGGUAAGGAAAAUUUCAGGUUUCCAAGCUACUUUGUUUGUGUCUGCAUAUAUAUUGUGUUGUUUCAGUGAAAAUUGUGGUGUGAAAUUAAUAUAAUCAGGUCAUCUCGUGCA